AUUCAUUCUCUACAGAUCAAGUGUAGUAUCUGUUCUUUUCAGAUUAGUCUCUGAAAUCCUUCUACGGAAGGAACAAUGACUAAUUUUAUUUUUGAACUCAGGAGAGCUUCCUCUUUGCUUGCAAAUGUAGCUCUCCACAGUGUCCCCAGUAUCACACUGCCUCUGGGCGACGCGAACCUUU
rfam:Verticillium albo-atrum VaMs.102 supercont1.1 genomic scaffold, whole genome shotgun sequence.